GGUCCCGCCUGCCCAGUGACUAACCACUUAAACGGCCGCGGUAUCCUAACCGUGCAAAGGUAGCGUAAUCACUUGUCCCCUAAAUAGGGACUAGUAUGAACGGCUAAAUGAGGGCCCAACUGUCUCCUUUGAUUAAUCAGUGAAAUUGAUCUACCCGUACAAAAGCUGGUAUGUACCCAUAAGACGAGAAGACCCUGUGGAGCUUAAAAUACUUAAGUCAAAAUUACAGCACUGCCAAAGAUGAUAUAACAUUUUCAGUUGGGGCGACUACGGAAAUAAGCCAAACUUCCAAGCCAAGAGCCAACCCGCUCUACCACAGACAAACAUGUCGAACUACCACCUGACCCAGAGCCACUCUGAGUAACGAACCAAGUUACCCCAGGGAUAACAGCGCCAUCUUCUUCAAGAGUUCCCAUCGACAAGAAGGUUUACGACCUCGAUGUUGGAUCAGGACACCCAAAUGGUGCAGCCGCUAUAAAGGUCGUU
rnacentral:rRNA from 1 species